AUCAACCACCAGACGCAGCCUCACAGCUGAUCGAGGCAAAUCGGUAUUGCAACUUUAACCGGCAGGAGGCGCCUUAAGAUCAAUUCUUGACUCGUCAGCAGCAAGCAGCAUGUUUACAUACAUCUUGAGAUAUUCUUGUGUUCAGCAGAAGAAAGAAAGUCAUACACCUCUGGGAUGGCAUGAGGUGCACAGCCACAGGAGAAAUUCAUACGGGUUUUGGAACAACAUUCAUCAUAUUUUUUAAAAAAAUCCCAGGUUAAAUGUGUUGAGAAAUAAAGCAUUAUUAUCAUG